ACGAUUAAAAAUUGCGUUUUCUUUUCUUCGUAACCGCCGCCGUUUUAAAUAGACAGUCGUGAUUUUAUAAUUUUUUUUUUUUUCCUAAACCGUAUUUGCGCAACGCUUUGCCCGGGAGCGCGGACGGUCGGGGAGCCGUUUAAUAUUUUCGUUUCGCAGGGUUUACCUCUACAAAUAUUACCCCUUGAUUUAAUUAAAACCUAAUUAACACGGGACAAGCACGUCGGGUCGCGACCAUAGGCGCAACCGGGGGGUGCAAAGAGUCUUAAGCAACCCCAAGUUUAAAAUUAGCACCGCCGAAAAACUCAAUCAAGUUUUGUCAUAGUGACAAUUAAAUAUUUGAAUAUGAAUUUCAUAAACAACGAACUAAUACAUGUGUGUUUGAAAAAUAAUGUUAAAAUAGCCACGAUAAAUUUGUAUAUAGGUACAAAAUUGUAAAUUAAAGGUGUAGUUAACUAUUGAUUGAGCCAUGUAAAGAGGAUUGUGGGGACAUAGCCCCCAUGGGUCUUUGAUUUAUUCAUAAUUUAUCACCCCCAGAGUUGGUGAUCUAAUUACGCCUACGGUCGCAACCAAUCUAGCCGUUCUUGUUUAUAAUAAGAAUAUCUGAAGGUGGUCGUUAUCGUAUUUGAUGUGGAGACAUUUUUUAUUUCAAUUUUUUGAUCGGGUUACCCCCGAAAUUAGUUCACAUCUAUAAAAAAAAAAAAAGAUUCAUAAAAAAUAUUUUUUUUUAAUUAGAUUUUCUCUAAUUAUUAUUAUACUUAUACUUUAUUCAUUUAACGAGUCAUUCACCCAAAAAAUAACAAAACA